AAAUUGACACCGUAACUUCGGGAGAAGGUGUGCCCUUGAGGGUGAUCGGCUUCGCGCCGCGAGCCUUUGGGGGUUGCAGAGAAUCGGGGGUAGCGACUGUUUAUCAAAAACACAGGACUCUGCGAAGUCGCAAGACGACGUAUAGGGUCUGACGCCUGCCCGGUGCUGGAAGGUUAACAGGAGAUGUCAGGGCGACCGAAGCAUCGAAUCGAAGCCCCAGUAAACGGCGGCCGUAACUAUAACGGUCCUAAGGUAGCGAAAUUCCUUGGCGGGUAAGUUCCGUCCUGCACGAAUGGCGUAACGACUUCCCCACUGUCUCGACCCGGGACUCAGCGAAAUUGAAAUCGGGGUGAAGAUGCCCCGUACCCGCGGAAAGACGGAAAGACCCCGUGAACCUUUACUGCAGCUUGGCACUGGUUUUCGGAUUUGUCUGUGUAGGAUAGGUGGGAGGCUGUGAAGUGGGGCCGCUAGGUUCCACGGAGCCAACGUUGAAAUACCACCCUGACAAAUCUGAAAGCCUAACCGUGACCCGUAAGCCGGGUCCGGAACACUGCCUGGUGGGUAGUUUGACUGGGGCGGUCACCUCCGAAAAAGUAACGGAGGCGCGCAAAGGUUCCCUCAGGCUGAUUGGAAACCAGCCGUAGAGUGUAAAAGCACAAGGGAGCUUGACUACAACUCAUACGAGAGGAGCAGGUACGAAAGUAGGCUUUAGUGAUCCGGUGGUUCUGAAUGGAAGGGCCAUCGCUCAACGGAUAAAAGGUACUCCGGGGAUAACAGGCUUAUCACGCCCAAGAGUUCACAUCGACGGCGUGGUUUGGCACCUCGAUGUCGGCUCAUCGCAUCCUGGGGCUGUAGUAGGUCCCUAGGGUUUGGCUGUUCGCCAAUUAAAGCGGUACGCGAGCUGGGUUCAAAACGUCGUGAGACAGUUUGGUCCCUAUCUUCCGUGGGCGCAGGAGUCUUGAAGUGGAUCUGUCCCUAGUACGAGAGGACCGGGAUGGACGAACCCCUGGUGUUCCGGUUGUUUUGCCAGAGGCAUUGCCGGGUAGCUAUGUUCGGAACGGAUAACCGCUGAAAGCAUCUAAGCGGGAAGCCAACCACAAGAUGAGGACUCCCUGAAGGCCCGUUGUAGACUACGACGUUGAUAGGCUGGGUGUGGAAGUGCGGCAACGCAUGGAGCUAACCAGUACUAAUCGGCCGUUUGGC
rnacentral:rRNA from 1 species